GGCGAAAGGGUUAGUAAUGCAUAGAUAACCUGCCCUAAAGCUGGGGAUAACAUCUGGAAACAGUUGCUAAUACCGAAUGUGGUUUUCGUGGGGCAUCCUAUGAAAACUAAAGAUGGGGAAACCCAUCGCUUUUGGAGGGAUCUAUGUCCUAUUAGUUAAAUGUUGGUGAGGUAACGGCUCACCAAGACUAUGAUGGGUAGCGGGACUGAGAGGUUGAUCCGCAACACUGGGACUGAGACACUGGCCAGACACCUACGGGUGGCAGCAGACUAGAAUCUUCCGCAAUGGGCGAAAGCCUGACGGAGCGACGCCGCGUGAAGGACAUGAAGGCCUUCAGGGUUGUAAACUUCUGUCUUGGGGUAUGAAGACAGCAACAGGGAUAAUCUGUUACUGUUUGACGUCAACCCAAAAGAAAGCCCCGGCUAACUCCGUGCCAGCAGCCGCGGUAAUACGGAGGGGGCAAGCGUUGUUCGGAAGCACUGGGCUUAAAGAGUACGUAGGCGGCUUUGUUAGUCGGUGUUGAAAUCCCUCAGCUCACCUGAGGAAUUGGCUCCGAUACUGCAUAGCUUGAGUGCGAUAGGGGAGAGUGGAACUCUUGGUGUAGCGGUGAAAUGUGUAGAUAUCAAGAGGAACGCCGGUGGUGAAAACGACUCUCUGGUUCGCGUCUGACGCUGAGGUACGAAAGCUAGGGGAAAACAGGAUUAGAUACCCUGGUAGUCCUAGCCGUAAACGAUGGGUACUAGGUAGAGGGAAUUUAUUCUCCCUGCCGUAGGGAAACCGUUAAGUACCCCGCCUGGGGAGUACGACCGCAAGGUUAAAACUCAAAGGAAUUGACGGGGGCUCACACAAGCGGUGGAGCAUGUGGUUUAAUUCGAAGCAACGCGCAGAACCUUACCCGGGUUUGACAUGUUAGCCCUUUCGGGGGUCCAGAAAUGAAAGUGGAUGGGCUUCACUUCGGUGGAGUUAAUACAGGUGUUGCAUGGCUGUCAUCAGCUCGUGCCGUGAGGUGUCAGGUUAAGUCCUCAAACGAACGAAACCCUUACUGUUAGUUGCCAGCGCGUAAUGGCGGGGACUCUAGCGGGACUGCCCAGAAAUGCGGAGGAAGGCGGGGACGACGUCAAGUCAUCAUGGCCCUUACGCCCGGGGCUACACACGUGCUACAAUGGCAGGUACAAAGGGACGCUAAACCGCGAGGUCACGCAAAUCCCAAAAAGCCUGUCCUAGUCCGGAUC
rnacentral:rRNA from 1 species